UCUUAUGGAUGAGCAAAGAAAAUAAUUUUUUGAGAUGAAAUCCACUCCUGGUGAAGAUGCUGUGAA
rnacentral:pre_miRNA from 1 species